UACUUUAGUUAUGGCAGUGGCAGGUGCGACACGUACUACAGAUCGGCGUUUCUUCGAAGCCGCGGGCAGCAUGUAUGCAGGGUACGACGGAAAUUGGGUCGGCACGGCUGUCGGCUGCAGCACCUUGCGUUUUAAUCCUACCUUGUAGUCUUCCUCUUUGAAGUGAAUCGAACAAACGACGGCCCUGGAGUUCGGCACCCACUGGCUACCUUUUUCGUAGCCUUGUCGCGAAAUGUGUCGCAGCCAGGCAUCCCGGAGUUGUUGCUUCGCCGGCAGCUCGUGAUAAGAAAGGUCAGAGUUACUCGCAGCAUUGGAUUUGCAUCGCGGCCCACAACAGUUCUUUGGGACUGCAUAUACCGUGACGCAUCUGAUAACUCCACGUUAGAAACGCGUAACGAAACAGAUGGACUAUGAAAUAAAAACAGGACUGAUGCUUCAGCUGCUUUCGGUGCAAAAAAUGAAAAGUAAGACGGUGAUAAUUUGAAAAAUCAAAGGAAAAUGACAUUCACCCAAUCGUAGCAAUUGCUACAAAGGGUUGUUGUAGCAGUUCCUCCCAAUCCACCCAAUCGUAGCAAUUGCUUAGAGUUGUUGAUGAAUUUGACUUCGCCCUGCCAUCUGCUAGCCGCCUGGUUAGCAGAUGGUAGAGCAGCUGCCCCGGAAUGGCAGUGGUCCCGGGUUUGAGACACAGUCCUCCUCUCAAUGUUGUAUCUAAAACCGGAUGAGUUCAGGUCAUGCUGAAGGGGAUCCAGUGCCAAAUAGAACAGGAAUGAUGAGAUUAGGUCACCUUGCUUUAUCUUCCUCUCCACAAACACCUGAAUCCUGUCUGUCUGGCCUCUAUAGGAAUAGGUAGUGGAUUGACAAAAGUAUUGGUCAGCAAUUGACAACACGUAAUCAUUGUGUGCCCCUCCCUUCCAUAAGGAUGCGAGAAGCGUGUGGUGACUAAUGGAGUCCAAAGCUUUUCUCAAGUCUAAUGAAGCAGCAUAAAAUGCCGAUUGUAGCGUUUGGUGUGCUUCAUUAUACCUUGCAACAAUAGAAGGCUGGACUGUGCCGCCCUGUCUCUCAAAAAGCUACCUUGAAGUGGGUGGAACUUAUGGUGAAUUCCAAUGGCGGAGUCGGAGCAAGUUUUUCUGCUCGUUUCGGAGCAAGUUUGUUCCAAUGACAGAGUGAAGGCGAGAGUAAAAUGUUCCAAUGAGAGAGUCGGAGUGGAUUCAGAGCGGGAGUGACUCCGUGGAGCAGGAAAAGAUGCUCCGCCAAAAUCGGCGGCGUGGACCGGAACUCUGCGUGACGCAUUUCCUUUACCACGUUUGUCCGCAAGAGGGGCGCAGCCGCUCGCGACUCGCGAUGGUAAUGGCGGACGACAUGAACGGCUCGGCUAGUUUGGCAGAGCGUGCGGCAUUGCUUCUGCUACUCGAUAGCGACAGCUCCGAGUCGGAAAGCUCAAGUUCCGACACGAGCGAUUUCUCGGAUAGUGACAGCGAUGCUGAAACUGCCGCUUAUGAGCGGGAAUUCGACAGGAUGUUCCGCAUUCCCGCGAAUAGACCCAAAGUAGUGAGCUUCAUCGAGGACGUCCUUCAAGUUGCGAAAACACCUACCAUGUUUGUCCAUAUCCUGCGUGCUCACCAUAGCAAACAAAAGCUGUUGCACGCUUAAUUGGCAAGAUAUCCAUUUUGCAGUUUUAAGCAGCGGGUGAACGGCGCUGUAAAGCGCCGUUCACCAAGACAAGUCAAAUGAUCGGUGCGGCGGUGCUGGGAGCAAACAUCGGAAGGGAAUGACAACACGCAAGGUAUCCUGGGUAACUUGGAGCCCGAAGGAUAGAACUUCCGCUUCCGCCUUGCUCCGGCGGCGCAGGUUGUGUUCCAGUCGCGGAUUUGGAGGCGUUGCUCUACGCCAGAGUCGAGUGCUCGCUCGCGGAGUCCUUCGGCUGCUCCGGCUCCGCCAUUGGAAUUCAACAUUAGACUUGUCCGGCAAUCGGCCAGCAGCAUACAGUCGUACAGUCGUAUUAGCACUGAGGAGAUGGUGAUAACCCUCAGAUCCGAGAGGGACAUGGCAUCUGUGCACUUAUGAACGAAUACCGUCUUUGCAAGCCGAAGCUCAUACGGCAAAUGCUGAGUGAGCCAAUUGUUGACUGCCAAUGCCAGCACUGCUGGAGGCAUUUUUCACAAUUCAUGCACUGAUAGCCCGGCACUUCCUAGGUAGGGUGCCCUUAAUGCUAACAUCUGCAAGGAGAUACACCAGUGAAAAUGGGAUCAAUGGCCUCGAGUAUACUUAACUCAUUGGGAACAAAGUAUGUGUGACCAAUUUUUUUAUUUUAGGUGCACAAUGUUUGGUUAGCACACAGAGAAUUUUUUCAAACUUUACAGUGUUGAACUUUUAAUAGUACGCUGAGCUUUUUCCAUAGCAAAACAAACAUUGCUCCAUGCUGCUACCUAGAUACAUGAAACUGGUGAAGCAUCCGUGUUUCAAAGAAUUGCACUUCACAUAUGCCCACAUGGACCUCUUCUGGCAAUAAUGGCACCGCAGUUGCUUUCCGAAUAGGUGGAUAACAAAAUGACGAUGUCGUCAGCUAGCGAGUUCCGGUUCGAGGGUUAGCGAUUCUGUUGCUUCAUUCAGCCUUAUCAGCAGUUUCUACAGUGUGAUUUCCCGCUGUUCGCAAAAAAAAACACGCUUCAGCAACGUGAUUAUGGUUGGCUGCUCGGCAUUAGGGUUCGUGAACUCUUCCGUGAAAGGGGGAAAAAAAUGUUUCGUUUUCCAUGGAAUGAAGCGCACAAACGUAAAUGGGCAGUUGCUGUCCAACCGG